rnacentral:lncRNA from 1 species
AUUUAUUGAAUAUUAAGCUCUAGGAUAAAAAAACCUGCUUAGACAGAACAUGGGUAUUUUCGAAUACUUUAUUUAGAAGAUCUUGUCAGGACAAUGAUAUAAGAUUACAGAAAAAUAUCUGACGUAGGACAAAUGUAUAAAGUCUUCAGGAUACCCUUCGGGAACAAUUUAGAAUGAUGCAGCGUAAACUACAGUAAAGUCUGAACAUUAAAGCAUAAAGAAACAAAAUCCACAACUUAUUCUGCCAAAUACAAAUAGUACACAUCUUAUUUUACUAAGCGUGUUGACCGUACUCUUCAUACACACAAAAAUCGGCACCCAAGGCCUGAAAUGCCAACUCUAGUAUACCUAUUCUAUGUAAUAAAUAUUUUUUUAAGUAUA